UACGUAGGGGGCUAGCGUUGUCCGGAAUCAUUGGGCGUAAAGAGCGUGUAGGCGGCCCGGUAAGUCCGCUGUAAAAGUCAAAGGCUCAACCUUUGAAUGUCAGUGGAUACUGCCGGGCUAGAGUCCGGAAGAGGCGAGUGGAACUCCUGGUGUAGCGGUGGAAUGCGCAGAUAUCAGGAAGAACACCGACGGCGAAGGCAGCUCGCUAGGACGGUACUGACGCUGAGACGCGAAAGCGUGGGGAGCAAACAGG
rnacentral:rRNA from 1 species